UAUUUAUCUUGCGCUUGAAAUUGUUGACUUUGUUUUGCGUGCUACAUGAACUAAUGCCUACAUAGGUACCUACGCCUCUAUUCAUAAAUUGGAAUUCAACUAGAAUUAAUAGUAAUUUUUCUAUCCAUAAACAUGUUCAUGAAAAACGUUGCAUCAUGUAUGCUAAUUAUCAUUGCAACUUGUGUAGUUGGUGGUGAAAGUAUUUUAUGCGAUACUUGCACGUGUAAAAAUUCCAUAAUAAAUUGCACAGAAAAUGGAUUGAUAGACAUUCUAGACCUAUGGGACCAUACAGAGGUUGUAAAGGAUGCAACCCUCAUGCAUUUUGAUCAUAAUGGCAUUGUACACGUGAAACAGUUGCCACCGUCUAAAGUUAGAUACUUAUCACUUCGACAAAAUAAGAUAAACAAAAUAGAUGAAAUGGCAUUUAUAAACUUAAAGUUACUAUUGGAACUCGACUUGAGCUACAAUUCUUUGACGGCGGAAAGUCUAAAUCCCGAUAUUUUCAAGAUUAAUAUCGAAGAUACUUCUAGACCAGGUAGCCUGAUUCAUUUACGCCUUGAUUACAACAAUAUCCAUUCGCUGUUGCCACAUACUUUCAAAGAACUCAGUAACCUUGUUUCACUGACACUAGCAGGAAAUCCUUUAACAGUCAUUGAUCGACCAACUAGUUUCGCACUGUCUUCAUUGCCCAUGUUAAAAGUCUUAAAUUUGUCUAAUACAUCAUUACACGAGUUGCCAAAUCAUCUUUUACACACACCUCGAUUUUUAGAAAUAUUAAAUCUGUCAAAUAACGAAUUCACACAAAUUCCACAAGGGCUGGACGAAGCACACGCGUUACAGAGAUUAGAUUUUAGUUCUAAUCCGAUAAAAAGCAUUUUGGGUUUCCCAAAAAUGGCAUCGUUAAAAGUACUCCAUUUAUCUCACAUGCCAGAACUAAACAUUAUCGGACCACGUGCUUUAAGUCUUCUUAAUGUUCUUGAGGAAUUUCAUUGCACGCAUAAUAAUAAACUCAAAUCAAUAGACCCGACUGCGUUUAGCUACAAAUUGAAUGACGGAUCAGAAGGUGAAUUGUGGCCUCGCAUUGUCAAAUUAGAUUUGAGUUACAACGCUUUAGGAUACUUGGAUAGCCGCUUGUUGAAUAGGUGGGACACGUUAGAAGAAUUGAACUUACAAGGCAACAAGUGGAUAUGUGAUUGUGUAAAUCAAUGGCUCGUGUCUACUUUAGCUCCAAUGGCAGAAUCAAGACAUCCGGAAUUCCUUAAUGAUUUCACUUGUCAAGAGCCAAUUGAAAUGAGUGGAAUUUCGAUUCUUGAUUUAGAUCAUCGCCAUUACCAUAUGCGGUGUUUGGAUUUCUACAAUAACCGUCCCGAAAGAGACGGUAUAUUGUUAAUAGGAAUACUGAUUGGCGUUAUAUUGACAGUACCAUUUACAAUGGGAAUUAUGAUGUGCUGUGCAAAACGGAAAAAUUCACUUUCAUACUAUCAUAGGAUAUUUAAUCAAAAUAAACCGUAUGCACAUGACUAUCAACUAAGGGAAACAUCAAUAUACCAGCCAACUUCAAUAAUCACCGAUGGAUAUUAACUUGUAAACUUGUAAACUUGUACUUACUUAUUAGUUUAUUUUUAAAAGUUUUUAUCAUAUUUUCUAAAAUAAUUAAUUUACAACGACGUAUUGGAUAAAGGUUUAUGGCGUAAACAGUGCUGGAUAAACGGGGCAGGGAAAAUAGGGCAGUGCCUCGGCGUAAAAUGUGUAUAGGGGUGGCCAAUUUUGAAGGUACAAUCGUUGUAAGGGUAUAACUGUAUGAGUAUUCGUUAACAAGGCAAUGGGUAUAAGACUUACUAUAAUAAAAAUCACGUUGGGUUCUAUCAAUGCGUUCAAUGGAUAGGAUUCCUUCAUUGCAGUGUGUUUUUUAUCUAAUAUAUUAUGUUAUUUAUUAUUAUUAUGUUUAUAAAAAUGCUAUAAAAUAUUAAAUAAUGCUGGUGUUUGAAAUAUAGAUUGUAAGUGUUUCCAAUA
rnacentral:misc_RNA from 1 species